AGAGUUUGAUCCUGGCUCAGGAUGAACGCUGGCGGCGUGCUUAACACAUGCAAGUCGAACGGGAAAUAUUUCAUUGAGACUUCGGUGGAUUUGAUCUAUUUCUAGUGGCGGACGGGUGAGUAACGCGUGGGUAACCUGCCUUAUACAGGGGGAUAACAGUCAGAAAUGGCUGCUAAUACCGCAUAAGCGCACAGAGCUGCAUGGCUCAGUGUGAAAAACUCCGGUGGUAUAAGAUGGACCCGCGUUGGAUUAGCUUGUUGGUGGGGUAACGGCCCACCAAGGCGACGAUCCAUAGCCGGCCUGAGAGGGUGAACGGCCACAUUGGGACUGAGACACGGCCCAGACUCCUACGGGAGGCAGCAGUGGGGAAUAUUGCACAAUGGGGGGAACCCUGAUGCAGCGACGCCGCGUGAAGGAAGAAGUAUCUCGGUAUGUAAACUUCUAUCAGCAGGGAAGAUAGUGACGGUACCUGACUAAGAAGCCCCGGCUAACUACGUGCCAGCAGCUGCGGUAAUACGUAGGGGGCAAGCGUUAUCCGGAUUUACUGGGUGUAAAGGGUGCGUAGGCGGAUUGGCAAGUCAGAAGUGAAAUCCAUGGGCUUAACCCAUGAACUGCUUUUGAAACUGUUAGUCUUGAGUGAAGUAGAGGUAGGCGGAAUUCCCGGUGUAGCGGUGAAAUGCGUAGAGAUCGGGAGGAACACCAGUGGCGAAGGCGGCCUACUGGGCUUUAACUGACGCUGAGGCACGAAAGUGUGGGUAGCAAACAGGAUUAGAUACCCUGGUAGUCCACGCCGUAAACGAUGGAUACUAGGUGUAGGAGGUAUCGACCCCUUCUGUGCCGCAGUUAACACAAUAAGUAUCCCACCUGGGGAGUACGGUCGCAAGAUUGAAACUCAAAGGAAUUGACGGGGGCCCGCACAAGCAGUGGAGUAUGUGGUUUAAUUCGAAGCAACGCGAAGAACCUUACCAGGACUUGACAUCCCACGCAUAGCCUAGAGAUAGGUGAAGUCCUACGGGACGUGGAGACAGGUGGUGCAUGGUUGUCGUCAGCUCGUGUCGUGAGAUGUUGGGUUAAGUCCCGCAACGAGCGCAACCCUUACUGUCAGUUACCAUCAUUAAGUUGGGGACUCUGGCAGGACUGCCGGUGACAAAUCGGAGGAAGGUGGGGACGACGUCAAAUCAUCAUGCCCCUUAUGUCCUGGGCUACACACGUACUACAAUGGCUGUUAACAAGGUGAAGCAAAGCAGUGAUGUGGAGCAAAACACAAAAAGCAGUCUCAGUUCAGAUUGUAGGCUGAAACUCGCCUAUAUGAAGUCGGAAUUGCUAGUAAUCGCAGAUCAGCAUGCUGCGGUGAAUACGUUCCCGGGCCUUGUACACACCGCCCGUCA
rnacentral:rRNA from 1 species